UAAUGCCGGAUGCUCCAGUUGAUCGCAUGGUCUUCUGGGAAAGCUUUCGCGGUAUGGGAUGGGGUCGCGUCCUAUCAGCUUGACGGCGGGGUAACGGCCCACCGUGGCUUCGACGGGUAGCCGGCCUGAGAGGGCGACCGGCCACAUUGGGACUGAGAUACGGCCCAGACUCCUACGGGAGGCAGCAGUGGGGAAUAUUGCACAAUGGGCGCAAGCCUGAUGCAGCGACGCCGCGUGAGGGAUGGAGGCCUUCGGGUUGUAAACCUCUUUUAUCGGGGAGCAAGCGAGAGUGAGUUUACCCGUUGAAUAAGCACCGGCUAACUACGUGCCAGCAGCCGCGGUAAUACGUAGGGUGCAAGCGUUAUCCGGAAUUAUUGGGCGUAAAGGGCUCGUAGGCGGUUCGUCGCGUCCGGUGUGAAAGUCCAUCGCUUAACGGUGGAUCCGCGCCGGGUACGGGCGGGCUUGAGUGCGGUAGGGGAGACUGGAAUUCCCGGUGUAACGGUGGAAUGUGUAGAUAUCGAAAAAAAACAC
rnacentral:rRNA from 1 species